AGAGUUUGAUCCUGGCUCAGAUUGAACGCUGGCGGCAUGCCUUACACAUGCAAGUCGAACGGCAGCACGGGAGCUUGCUCCUGGUGGCGAGUGGCGAACGGGUGAGUAAUACAUCGGAACGUACCCUGAAGUGGGGGAUAACGUAGCGAAAGUUACGCUAAUACCGCAUAUUCUGUGAGCAGGAAAGAGGGGGAUCGCAAGACCUCUUGCUUUAGGAGCGGCCGAUGUCGGAUUAGCUAGUUGGUGAGGUAAAGGCUCACCAAGGCGACGAUCCGUAGCGGGUCUGAGAGGAUGAUCCGCCACACUGGGACUGAGACACGGCCCAGACUCCUACGGGAGGCAGCAGUGGGGAAUUUUGGACAAUGGGCGCAAGCCUGAUCCAGCCAUGCCGCGUGAGUGAAGAAGGCCUUCGGGUUGUAAAGCUCUUUCGGUGGGGAAGAAAUGGCACGGGUUAAUACCCUGUGUUGAUGACGGUACCCGCAUAAGAAGCACCGGCUAACUACGUG
rnacentral:rRNA from 1 species